rnacentral:rRNA from 1 species
UACGUAGGGUGCGAGCGUUGUCCGGAAUUAUUGGGCGUAAAGGGCUCGUAGGCGGUUUGUCGCGUCGGGAGUGAAAACACCGGGCUUAACUCGGUGCUUGCUUUCGAUACGGGCAGACUAGAGGCAUGCAGGGGAGAACGGAAUUCCUGGUGUAGCGGUGAAAUGCGUAGAUAUCGAGAGGAACACCUGCGGCGAAGGCGGGUUGCUGGGCUGACACUGACGCUGAAGCGCGAAAGCUAGGGGAGCGAACGGG